GUACAUCGAAAGUGGUGUUGUCCAGUAGGAUCUCCUGCAGUUACAGAAUGUUCUAGACCUGGGCUGUCCAAUAUGGUAGCUGCAAGACAUAGGUGGCUCUUGGCACUUGAAAUGUAGGUAGACAACUGACCCUUCUUAAUUUCAUUUAAUGAUAGAUGAUUAGUUCGAAUUUAUUAUUAUUUUUGAGAUGAGUUCUUGCCAUAUUGCACAAGCUGGUCUUGAAUUCCUGGGCUCAACCAAUCCUCCUGUCUCAGCCUCUCAAGUAUCUGGGACUCAGAUGCACAGCACCAUGCCUGGCUCAAGUUUAAAUCUAAAUAGCCCAUCUGUCUAGUGGCUGCUGUAUUGGAUUUCACUGUUCUUUGUGAUGUAGGGCUCUGAAUUACUAUGUUGUUCCUCAGCAGAUAUUUUCCCUGGGGUUUUCUCUGAUCAUAUUAACACCUGACUUGCAGUCUUCCUGUAAUCACCUUGAGUGACGUCAGUGUCCCGCUGAGUGACCCACCCAAAUCUUGGCCUGUUGGUUCCUUGACAUCCUCCGUAAUAGUAAUUGUCCCCUCUGCCCCACUCAAGCUACCAUUUUCUGGGGCCAUUGCAAGUCCUUGUCCUUACCUGGAAUUGUUCUACCUUUGAAAUUUUAAAGAAAAUGUAUCACACUGCUCUUCUCAGACCUGUCACCCACUCACCCACUGCACUACUGAGGCCUCUUUUCCCUGGACCUUCCACUCUCUCCUUCUCGCUUUCAUGACCAAGAUUAUUGUUCUAAGACUCCCUUAACUUUUAAAAGCUGUCUACUUGUUUCUAAACCAGUGGAUAUUUUUUAGGCCAAAUAAUAUUACUUAGCUUUUCAGAGAGCUUGGUGGUCUGGGGUCGCUCACUCCUUCUUCAAAUGUUUUCUCCCCAUGGCUUAACUGAUCCACUUCACCAACUCUUACUGGGGCAUCUGGAUGAUACUAUAAGUGGCAGGCAGUAUACCAGAUACUGGGUGUAAGAGUCAGCAAGACAGGCAUGUCCCAGCCUUCUAGAAUUUAGAGUAUAAUGAGGAAAAUGGACAUUAAUGGUUGCACUAAAAAAUAUGAGAGGACAAGUGGGAAAAGCCUGCAAAGGAAUGUAGUGUGAAAACCCCGCAUGGGGGAAUUCUCUCAAUCCUAUUUAGCCCCAAAUGCUUCUGAUUCUGUCUCUUGAAUAACUCUUUAAAAAACUGUGGUCAAAUAUACAUAACACAAAAUGGACCAUCUUAACUAUUUUAAGUGUACAGGUGAAUGGCAUUAAGAGCAUUCCCAUCAUUAGGCAACCAUCUCCAACACCCGUCUCCAGAACUUUUGCAUCUUCCCAAGUGGCAACUCUGUGCUCUUUCAACAGCACUUCCCAUUCUCCAGACCCCCAGCCCCUGGAAACCACCAUUCCGCUUCCUGUCUCUAUGCAUUUAACUACUCUAGGAGCCUCAUGUGAGUGGAAUCACACAGUAGUUGUCCUUCUGUGAUUGGCUUAUUUCACUUAGUACCAUGUCCUCCGGGUUCACCCACAUUGUAGCGUGUGUUAGGAUUUCUUUCCCUUUUACCGCUGAAUCAUAUUCCAUUGAAUGGGGAGAACCGCGUUUUGAUCAUCCAUGCGUCCACUGAUGGACACUUGGGUUGCUCCCACCUUUUGGCUAUUGUCAAUAAUGCUGCUAUGAACAUGUGUGUACAAGUAGCUCUUUCAUUCCCUGAUUUCAAUUCUUGUGGGUGAAUGUAGCUAGAAACAAAAUUGCUGGAUCAUGUAAUAAUUCUACUUUUAAUUUUUGAGGCACCACCACACUGUUUUCCAUAGCAGCUGCACCAUGUUACAUUCGCACUGAUACUGCUCAGGGGUUCAAUUUCUUCACAUUCUUGCCCACACUUGUUAAUUUCUCUGCUGUCUUUUAUUUAUUUAUUUUUGACAAUAGGCACCCUAAUGAUGUGAGAUAGUGUAUCUUUGUUUGUUAAUGGGAGAAUUUAUUUUGAUACAUGUAUGUUCUGGUGAUGAAUAUUUCCAAGAACUUCUUCUC
rnacentral:lncRNA from 1 species